UUACAGCUCCAGGAGACUGAAGUCCUCUGUUUAUUCACACAACAGGGACAUACACAGGAAGCAUUGGUGCAAGGUUCCCCUAUCAAUGUAACUCAAUCCUGACCUGCAGGACCCAUCUCUAGGGGUCAGAAGGGAGCUCACUCUUCAAAGCCUUUCUAGUCCGAGGUUUGC
rnacentral:sRNA from 1 species